rnacentral:rRNA from 1 species
UACAGAGACUGCAAGCGUUAUUCGGAUUCACUGGGCGUAAAGGGUGCGCAGGCGGCCGUGUGUGUGAGGCGUGAAAGCCCGGGGGCUUAACCCCGGAAUUGCACCUCAAAACUACAUGGCUAGAGCAUUGGAGAGGGUAGCGGAAUUCACGGUGUAGCAGUGAAAUGCGUAGAUAUCGUGAGGAACACCAGAGGCGAAGGCGGCUACCUGGACAAUUGCUGACGCUCAGGCACGAAAGCGUGGGGAGCAAAAGGG